UACGUAGGGUGCAAGCGUUAAUCGGAAUUACUGGGCGUAAAGCGCGCGUAGGUGGUUUGUUAAGUUGAAUGUGAAAUCCCCGGGCUCAACCUGGGAACUGCAUGCAAAACUGGCAAGCUAGAGUAUGGUAGAGGGUGGUGGAAUUUCCUGUGUAGCGGUGAAAUGCGUAGAUAUAGGAAGGAACACCAGUGGCGAAGGCGACCACCUGGACUGAUACUGACACUGAGGUGCGAAAGCGUGGGGAGCAAACAGG
rnacentral:rRNA from 1 species